rnacentral:rRNA from 1 species
CAAGUCGAGCGGGAUACAGGCUGUAGCAAUAUGGCUUGUGUUCAGCGGCGCAAGGGUGCGUAACACGUGGGCAAUUUGCCAUGAAGUUUGGGAUAAUCCCGCGAAAGCGGGACUAAUACCGGAUGUGGAAGCUGGGAGGCAUCUUCUGGAUUCUAAAGUUGGGGACCGAAAGGCCUGACGCUUUAUGAUAAGCCCGCGGCCUAUCAGCUAGUUGGUGAGGUAACGGCUCACCAAGGCAAAGACGGGUAGCUGGUCUGAGAGGACGACCAGCCACACUGGAACUGAGACACGGUCCAGACACCUACGGGUGGCAGCAGUCGAGAAUUUUUCACAAUGGGCGAAAGCCUGAUGGAGCGACGCCGCGUGGGGGAUGAAUGGCUUCGGCCCGUAAACCCCUGUCAUUUGCGAACAAACCUUGUUCAUGAAUAGUGGACAAGCUGAUUGUAGCGGAAGAGGAAGGGACGGCUAACUCUGUGCCAGCAGCCGCGGUAAUACAGAGGUCCCGAGCGUUGUUCGGAUUCACUGGGCGUAAAGGGUGCGUAGGUGGUGGGGUAAGUCGGAUGUGAAAUCUCCGGGCUCAACCCGGAAACUGCAUUGGAAACUACCUUGCUAGAGGUUUUGAGGGGGGACUGGAAUUCUCGGUGUAGCAGUGAAAUGCGUAGAUAUCGAGAGGAACACCAGUGGCGAAGGCGAGUCCCUGGAAAACACCUGACACUGAGGCACGAAAGCUAGGGGAGCAAACAGGAUUAGAUACCCUGGUAGUCCUAGCCCUAAACGGUGCUUGCUUGCUGUAAGUGGAAUCGACCCCACUUGUGGCGGAGCUAACGCGUUAAGCAAGCCGCCUGGGAAGUACGGUCGCAAGAUUAAAACUCAUAGAAAUUGACGGGGGCCUGCACAAG